CGGACGGGUGAGUAAUGUAUAGGAACUUGCCUAGUAGUGGGGGACAACGCGCGGAAACGCACGCUAAUACCGCAUACGCUCUACGGAGGAAAGCGGGGGCUCUUCGGACCUCGUGCUACUAGAUAGGCCUAUAUUGGAUUAGCUAGUUGGUAAGGUAAAGGCUUACCAAGGCGACGAUCCAUAGCUGGUUUGAGAGAAUGAUCAGCCACACUGGGACUGAGACACGGCCCAG
rnacentral:rRNA from 1 species